CAUGAUUUGACUUGAUCAGAGGCCGUGAUAUUUUUGGUGCUUUCAGGAAUGCAUAAAUUAUUGAAAGAAAACAAAACAUAAGGAAAUGCUGGCCACUAAAACUCAGAAAGUGCUAAAAAACCUACGUUUGAAGACCUGCAAGAAGAUAGAUGUUUCAUAAAAUGCACAGCAUGAGAAGAAACAUGCUUAAAAAAAAAACCCAAACAAACCAACAGCAGCUGGCUAACACCUGAAGUGAUAUUUCUUCUCAUUGUCUGCCAACGAUUGGCUUCACUGUGGAGCAGCAGUGGUGACUAGAAAAGGUCAUAAAACUUUUCCCAGAUCUAAAAAGCCUAUUGAUAAGGAAGAGUGGAGAUGCCAGCACUGGUUAAUAUUCCGUUUUCUAUUUUGUUAACUAUUGCAAGAAAGCAG